UGUGAAGAAGGCCUUUAGGUUGUAAAGCACUUUAAGCGAGGAGGAGGCGCUCUAGGUUAAUACCUUAGAAGCGUGGACGUUACUCGCAGAAAUAAGCACCGGCUAACUCUGUGCCAGCAGCCGCGGUAAUACAGAGGGUGCGAGCGUUAAUCGGAUUUACUGGGCGUAAAGCGUACGUAGGCGGCUUUUUAAGUCGGAUGUGAAAUCCCCGAGCUUAACUUGGGAAUUGCAUUCGAUACUGGGAAGCUAGAGUAUGGGAGAGGAUGGUAGAAUUCCAGGUGUAGCGGUGAAAUGCGUAGAGAUCUGGAGGAAUACCGAUGGCGAAGGCAGCCAUCUGGCCUAAUACUGACGCUGAGGUACGAAAGCAUGGGGAGCAAACAGGAUUAGAUACCCUGGUAGUCCAUGCCGUAAACGAUGUCUACUAGCCGUUGGGGCCUUUGAGGCUUUAGUGGCGCAGCUAACGCGAUAAGUAGACCGCCUGNNGGAGUACNGUCGCAAGACUAAAACUC
rnacentral:rRNA from 1 species